rnacentral:rRNA from 1 species
GACGAACGCUGGCGGCGUGCCUAACACAUGCAAGUCGAACGGAGCACUUCGGUGCUUAGUGGCGAACGGGUGAGUAACGCGUGAGAAACCUGCCUUUCAGUGGGGGACAACAGUUGGAAACGACUGCUAAUACCGCAUAAUGUUAUUUGGGGGCAUCCCCGAAUAACCAAAGCUUUAUGUGCUGAAAGAUGGUCUCGCGUCUGAUUAGCUAGAUGGCGGGGUAACGGCCCACCAUGGCGACGAUCAGUAGCCGGUCUGAGAGGAUGAACGGCCACAUUGGGACUGAGAUACGGCCCAGACUCCUACGGGAGGCAGCAGUGGGGAAUAUUGGGCAAUGGGCGAAAGCCUGACCCAGCAACGCCGCGUGAAGGAAGAAGGCCUUCGGGUUGUAAACGUUCUUUUACCAGGGUACGAAGAAAGUAGACGGUACCUGGAGAAAAAGGACAACGGAC